rnacentral:tRNA from 1 species
UCUACGUGGGUGGCUCAGUGGUUAGAGCCUAGGGCUUGGGAGCGAAAGGUCCCGGGUUCGAAUCUCGCGAGAGGUAGAA